UACGUAGGGGCGAGCAUUGUCCGGAUUUACUGGGCGUAAAGAGCGCGUAGGCGGAGACUUAAGUGUGGCCUGAAAGCCCCCGGCUCAACCGGGGAGGGUGGCUGCAAACUGGGUUUCUAGAGAUUGGUAGAGGAUGGCGGAAUUCCAGGUGUAGCGGUGAAAUGCGUAGAUAUCUGGAGGAACACCUGUGGCGAAGGCGGCUAUCUGGUCCAAUUCUGACGCUGAGGCGCGAAAGGUAGGGGAGCAAACAGGAUUAGAUACCC
rnacentral:rRNA from 1 species